UGAGUCAGUUUAAUCUUAAGUCUGUGUAUUUUUCUUUGUGAUUACAUGGCAAUAAAAUAGCUCAUUUGCCUUUUUGCAAAUCAAAGGAAGCCAAAUCAGUCAUAUCUCUGCUAUUCUUUUCUUUUAGAGCCCAAUGAUUCCAAAGGACAUUAAGUUUGAUUUCUCAGAUGAAGCUUUGUGGCUGCCCCUCAUGCUUUGCAAAACAUUACCAAGUCAGAGCCGAAAAGAAAACUGGUAUUUAUGGCACAAUGAUAAAUUUCAUCUUUCCCAGAAUGGUAAGUAAAGAGCUCUUUCUAUAUUUGAUAGCACUGAACACAAACAAGAAAAAGUGAAUUGCUAUAAUAGAAGUGGAGUAUCAUUUGCUAAAUGUGUUGAAUUAUCUGAUAAUUAUAAGGUAGCAUAUACUCCUCAAAUAAAUGGAUACCACAUUCAAAUUCUAUAAGCAUUCCAAAAUACUCACCAAAAUAUGCUACAGGGCUCCUCAGAGGGAAUCUAAGGUUUCUGUUUUCUCUGUUGGAUUGCAUUUGAACAUAGUAUAUUCCAUAGUUUAUUUUCUGGGGUAAUUUAUUUUAAAAUAUACACAGAUAUAGAAAUAAAUGUGGCUUACAUUCUGUGAGAAGAAAGAUACAUAUUGAGAGUGGGUGAGCAAGAGUCCUUUGGAAUUUUUACUGUUACAUAAAAACUGAUUGUAAUUUAUGUUUGACCAGGGCUUUGCAGCAUCUGUGAAUUUAAAAAUGUUUGUUUUCUAAGAGCAUAUAUCAUAACUUCUCCUAGGCAAGCUAGCUANNNNNNNNNNNUGUUUAAACACAUAGUUUUGUUGUCUUUCUCUUUUUAUGACUUAAAAUGGUAAUAUUUAGUUUUAGUCUUAAUCAUAACCUCUUUAUAAUUUAGAUAAGAAUAAAAACCAAUCUUAUCAA
rnacentral:lncRNA from 1 species